ensembl:miRNA Gm22355 predicted gene, 22355
AGAGGCAGGCAGAUCUCUGUGAGUUCGAGGCCAGCCUGGUCUACAGAGUGAGUUCCAGGACAGCCAAGUCUACACAGAGAAACCCUGUCUCGAAAA